rnacentral:rRNA from 1 species
GAUGAACGCUGGCGGCGUGCUUAACACAUGCAAGUCGAACGAUGAAGCCCAGCUUGCUGGGUGGAUUAGUGGCGAACGGGUGAGUAACACGUGAGUAACCUGCCCUUGACUCUGGGAUAAGCCUGGGAAACUGGGGCUAAUACUGGAUAUGACUUCUCUUCGCAUGGUGGGGGGUGGAAAGAUUUAUUGGUCUUGGAUGGACUCGCGGCCUAUCAGCUUGUUGGUGAGGUAAUGGCUCACCAAGGCGACGGCGGGUAGCCGGCCUGAGAGGGUGACCGGCCACACGGGGACUGAGACACGGCCCAGACCCCUACGGGAGGCAGCAGUGGGGAAUAUUGCACAAUGGGCGCAAGCCUGAUGCAGCGACGCCGCGUGAGGGAUGACGGCCUUCGGGUUGUAAACCUCUUUCAGUAGGGAAGAAGCGAGAGUGACGGUACCUGCAGAAGAAGCGCCGGCUAACUACGUG